GUCUAUGGCCAUACCACCCUGAAUGUGCCAAAUCUCAUCCAAUCUUAGAAGCUAAGUACGGUUGGGCCUGGUUAGUACUUAGAUGGGAGAAAGUUAUGUUGCAUGAAAACCCAUCAGGUUUCAGCUGACU
ensembl:rRNA 5S_rRNA 5S ribosomal RNA